rnacentral:misc_RNA from 1 species
UCGGAGUCAGAAAUUGGCUUCAAAGAUAUACCAUCCAAACCCUCCUCAAUUUCAAGAGAUUGAGGUUCAACUACAUCAUCUUCAAGUAAGGCUGUUGAAACAGAAUCUGAUGCUGAAAAUGUCCCAACAGUAGCCUUAUGUUUUUCUCUGUACUUGUUAACUUGCCUUCUAACACUCUCCAGAGGAACAAGCUUUGAAAGUCUCCAGAAGGAAGUCUGUACAGG